AUUGAACGCUGGCGGCAUGCCUUACACAUGCAAGUCGAACGGCAGCGCGGGGCAACCUGGCGGCGAGUGGCGAACGGGUGAGCAAUAUAUCGGAACGUACCCUGGAGUGGGGGAUAACGUAGCGAAAGUUACGCUAAUACCGCAUACGAUCUAAGGAUGAAAAUGGGGGAUCGCAAGACCUCAUGCUCCUGGAGCGGCCGAUAUCUGAUUAGCUAGUUGGGGGGUAAAGGCCUACCAAGGCAUCGAUCAGUAGCUGGUCUGAGAGGACGACCAGCCACACUGGAACUGAGACACGGUCCAGACUCCUAC
rnacentral:rRNA from 1 species